UCAGAGUCAGAGGAAGGAGAUGUAAAAAUGGAGAGGGUCAGAGAGGAGAGGAAAUGCUACCCUGCUAGCUUUGAAUACAGGGAAGAGUCUAGGAAUGCUGACAAUCUCUAGAAGCUGAAGGAGAGAAGGAAGUAAAGACAAGAAAGCAGAUUCUCCCUGGAGCCUCCAGAGUGGAACGCAGCCUUAUCAACAUCUUGAUUUUAGCAAGGAAAUAUCCAGAAUCAGCAAAUUCAUGAAGACAGAAAGCAGAUCGAUGGUUGCCAGGCAAUGGAAGGAGAGGAGAUGGGGUGACUUUUUAAGAGGCAGAUUUCCUUUGGAUCAAAGAAAAUAUUCAGAGACUGACAUAGUGGUGAGGGUUACACAACCUUGUGAGCAAACUGAGUGUCUUUAAUGGAUUCCAGAUGUGAUUCUAUAAUUGUCCCACUCAUGGGCUUAAAAUGAACAUUCGGGUGAAAGAAUUACGAGGCCCAUCAUCACUUGUUACAGCAAGUUUAUAAAUAAAGAGAAAUGUGAAAUUAGAACCACCAGGAUCCUCUCCUCAUCUUUCACAGCUGGGCCGCUGGAGGUACUUCAUUGUAUUCACGAUGAGGUGUAGGUGAUCCAUGGG
ensembl:lncRNA